GCAAUACACCUGCUUUAUGCACUUGAGCAGGGAAGAAAUCCACAAGGACUCACCAGUCUCCUGGUCUGCAGAGAAGACAGAAUCAACAUGAGCACAGCAGGAAAAGUAAUCAAAUGCAAAGCAGCUGUGCUAUGGGAGUUAAAGAAACCCUUUUCCAUUGAGGAGGUGGAGGUUGCACCUCCUAAGGCCCAUGAAGUUCGUAUUAAGAUGGUGGCUGUAGGAAUCUGUGGCACAGAUGACCACGUGGUUAGUGGUACCAUGGUGACCCCACUUCCUGUGAUUUUAGGCCAUGAGGCAGCCGGCAUCGUGGAGAGUGUUGGAGAAGGGGUGACUACAGUCAAACCAGGUGAUAAAGUCAUCCCACUCGCUCUUCCUCAGUGUGGAAAAUGCAGAAUUUGUAAAAACCCGGAGAGCAACUACUGCUUGAAAAACAAUGUGAACAAUCCUCAGGGGACCCUGCAGGAUGGCACCAGCAGGUUCACCUGCAGGGGGAAGCCCAUCCACCACUUCCUUGGCAUCAGCACCUUCUCACAGUACACAGUGGUGGAUGAAAAUGCAGUAGCCAAAAUUGAUGCAGCCUCGCCCCUAGAGAAAGUCUGUCUCAUUGGCUGUGGAUUUUCAACUGGUUAUGGGUCUGCAGUCAAUGUUGCCAAGGUCACCCCAGGCUCUACCUGUGCUGUGUUUGGCCUGGGAGGGGUCGGCCUAUCUGCUAUUAUGGGCUGUAAAGCAGCUGGGGCAGCCAGAAUCAUUGCGGUGGACAUCAACAAGGACAAAUUUGCAAAGGCCAAAGAGUUGGGUGCCACUGAAUGCAUCAACCCUCAAGACUACAAGAAACCCAUCCAGGAGGUGCUAAAGGAAAUGACUGAUGGAGGUGUGGAUUUUUCGUUUGAAGUCAUCGGUCGGCUUGACACCAUGAUGGCUUCCCUGUUAUGUUGUCAUGAGGCAUGUGGCACAAGUGUCAUCGUAGGGGUACCUCCUGAUUCCCAAAACCUCUCAAUGAACCCUAUGCUGCUACUGACUGGACGUACCUGGAAGGGAGCUAUUCUUGGUGGCUUUAAGAGUAAAGAAUGUGUCCCAAAACUUGUGGCUGAUUUUAUGGCUAAGAAGUUUUCAUUGGAUGUAUUAAUAACCCAUGUUUUACCUUUUGAAAAAAUAAAUGAAGGAUUUGACCUGCUUCACUCUGGGAAAAGGCAAUGCUCGGUGUCAGUCUCAAUCUCACUAUCUUAGAGAAGAGAAAACUGAGACUCAGAGAAGGCAUGACUUGGUCAAAAUCAUCAGAUGGUAGGAAGGAGAGCCAGAAUUCAAAGGUAGAUCUUGUUGUCAGCAAAUAUCUCACUUCUAUUAAACCACACCGCCCCUCAAGAGCGCAUGGAUAUAUGGAACACAGUAGCCAUCAAAGUAUCCGUACCAUUCUGAUGUUUUGAGACAAUACAGAUGUUUUCCCUUGUGGCAGUCUUCAGCCUCCUCUACCCUACAUGAUCUGGAGCAACAGCUGGGAAAUAUCAUUAAUUCUGCUCAUCACAGAUUUUAUCAAUAAAUUACAUUUGGGGGCUUUCCAAAGAAAUGGAAAUUGAUGUAAACUUAUUUUUCAAGCAAAUGUUUAAAAUCCAAAUGAGAACUAAAUAAAGUGUUGAACAUCAGCUGGGGAAUUGAAGCCAAUAAACCUUCCUUCUUAACCAUU